UACAGAGGGUGCAAGCGUUGUUCGGAAUUAUUGGGCGUAAAGGGAGUGUAGGCGGCUGUCUAAGUCUUCUGUGAAAUCUACGGGCUCAGCCUGUAACGUGCAGAGGAAACUGGAUAGCUUGAGUGUCGGAGAGGAUAGUGGAAUUCCCGGUGUAGAGGUGAAAUUCGUAGAGAUCGGGAGGAACACCAGUGGCGAAGGCGACUAUCUGGCUGACAACUGACGCUGAGACUCGAAAGCAUGGGGAGCAAACAGG
rnacentral:rRNA from 1 species